rnacentral:lncRNA from 1 species
GGUUGCUCAGAGGCAUCUGCGUAAACUCCUAUUUCUUCCGAGGGUCCUCUUUCGUUCGCCAUCUCGGGAAGGGCGCAUCGCGAAUGUCACGGACCUUCUUUGACCUUCUCAAGAUGGCGGCGAAAUGGGCGGGGAAAUCGCACACUCCGCACAGAGCGGUCCAGCAGCCCCCCGAGCCAGCCCCCUGCCCCUCGCCGCUGGGUGCCGGGGGCGGAGGAAGGACGCGGCUGCCGAGCGAGGUCCGUGCUGGAGAGUGGGAGAAAGGGCCCUGCUGGUUGCCGUGUCCUCGGUGGGCAGAGAGCUGUGACCUUGGCCGCAUGGGCUGGUGAGCGUGCAUCAUUGCCAGUUUGGGAUUGAGUGAAAUGCACUAAGGAAACCAGCUCUGGGGAGGGAGGGAGAGAGGGAGGGAGACCUUCUCUUAACAUUUACCAGUUCUUCUGUCAACUCAUCACGGAGGAUUGAAAGUGUGAGAAGAUGUGGAGGGAAACAGAGAAUCUGACAGGAGCAUCGAAUGCACAGGUGCACGAAUUUUGCUUUUUGCUUGGAUUUAAACUCAGAAGUUGUAAGGAAUUUGGGAAGGAGAAGAAGUUGUUGUUACAGUCCUUGCAAAAGCUUUUGUUCUAGCUAAUAAAAGAAGUUAGUUUAAAUAAAAAAAAAAAGGG